ACACUGGUGGUGAAGUGGAAUCACACUUACUUCCUAGCGAGGGACUUGGGUCCCUUUCUGCCAUAAGAGGCGAGGGUUCGAAUCCCUCCCAGUGUG